rnacentral:rRNA from 1 species
CAGCAGCCGCGGGAAUACGUAGGGUGCGAGCGUUAAUCGGAAUUACUGGGCGUAAAGCGUGCGCAGGCGGCUUUGCAAGACAGAUGUGAAAUCCCCGGGCUCAACCUGGGAACUGCAUUUGUGACUGCAAGGCUAGAGUGCGGCAGAGGGAGAUGGAAUUCUGCGUGUAGCAGUGAAAUGCGUAGAUAUGCGGAGGAACACCGAUGGCGAAGGCAAUCUCCUGGGCCUGCACUGACGCUCAUGCACGAAAGCGUGGGGAGCAAACAGGAUUAGAUACCCGCGUAGUCCCUGUCUCUUAUAC